AUAACAUCACUUGAAUUAGUAACAGCAAAUUAAAUGUGUUGACUCAUCUGAUUACAAAAAGGGAGCUGUCUCUCUAACCUCCAAGAUAACAGAUUACUCAAGAAUUCUGGAACUUGCAUGAUUUCUCAUAUUACACAGCCUAAAUCUCUACCUAAAGGAUAAUAACAACAGCAAGAAGCAAGAGCAUCCAAUCCAUUGAGCUACUUCAUCGUUUACAUCUCUUGAUGCAUGCCGAUUCUUUUCGCCUGAAAUACAAGACCAACCAUUCUGUUUGAAUCCAAACUCAAUUUAGGACCCCUUGAAGAAUCCAUAAAAUUCUUAUUAGGCAAAAGCAACACAACAAGCAAAUACAUGGCCUAUCAUUUGUUCAUGUAUGUGUUAAUGGGGUCUUAACUUCCUAGCUUGAAUCUACGGGGAUAUUAUGCACAUGUCUCAUCUCGUUCUACCUACACUGAAAACUCUACACCUAUGUUAUUAUUACUACCAUCCAUAAUAAAAGAAGAAGAAAGNNN
rnacentral:lncRNA from 1 species